rnacentral:rRNA from 1 species
UACGUAGGGUGCAAGCGUUGUCCGGAAUUAUUGGGCGUAAAGAGCGUGUAGGCGGUUUGGUAGGUCCGUUGUGAAAACUCGAGGCUCAACCUCGAGACGCCGAUGGAAACCAUCAGACUAGAGUCCGGAAGAGGAGAGUGGAAUUCCUGGUGUAGCGGUGAAAUGCGCAGAUAUCAGGAAGAACACCCGUGGCUAAGGCGGCUCUCUAGUACGGUACUGACGCUGAGACGCGAAAGCGUGGGGGAGCGAACAGG